AACACUGCGCCGGAAUGAACGGAUUAUAUUGAUGUUAUAAAAUAUAAGUUUAUACUUCUGUGUUU
rnacentral:tRNA from 1 species